rnacentral:rRNA from 1 species
AUGGCGAACGCGGCCAAGGCGGCAGCAAUCUUACUUGUUUUUCUGCAGGUGGUGUGCGCCGUCGCCCGGCACCAUGCUGAUCCGCGGGCAUCUUUCGCCUACGUCGAGACUUCAGGGGUGAUGAUGUUGAGUGGGUUCGACCAAGGAGAGGAGCGCGCGCCGGCGUCAUGCGGCGGCACAUACCACACCGACCUGGAAUCCGUGAUCACGGUGUCUAGCAAGAUAUACACGAGCGGGGGCCUGUGCGGCAUCUUGUUCCGCAUCACGGACAUGGAGACCGGGCGCAGCGCGAUGGCAGAGGCCGUGGACGAGUGCCACGACUGCCGCGACGACGAGGUGGGAGCGUCGGCCGGCGUGUGGAAAGAUCUCGGCCUCGACACAGGGGCCGGCUCGGUGGACGUCAUGUUGUCCUAUUGA